GGUUAGGGCAGGGCAGCUGGGCAAAGUGUUACGUGGGAUUGCAUAAAGAGCUUGAUUAAUAAGAAACAGAAGGGAAUGGGAUAGAAAUAAUUGCCGAUCAGCAGAUGGGUGGAUGCAGGCAUUAGGAAGAAUGAAAAACAACUGUCUCAAUGCAUUUGGAGGAGUGAGCUUCAGGAAAUGCCAUACACAUGUUGCAAAUGGGAAGAGGAAGAUGAACACGCCUGCCCAAAUCCCUAUGUAAGAUCCAUUGAAAAGAUCAAAUAAAACUCUUUCAGCUAUUUCAAGUUCCAAGAUGGUAAUUGUAUGCAAGAAGGUUAUAGCCAUGUGAGUGGGGAAACACUGGCAGUCACACGAUGCAUUCUCUCGUGCUUAAGUAAAUUUCCAGUAACCCUGGAAAUCCUCCCCAGUUUCCAACUCAGCGUUAUGCCAUCUCAUAUCACUGCUAUUUUCUGAGAAUCUUCUCCUCUGCUCUUGAGAUUCUCUAUCUCAAAGAAAUCCAUAAUCUACCAUGACCUAAAAAAGAUUUUCAUUAAUUUUAUGGGCCAAGCUGCUGCAGGGACGAACGCGCGACGCAUUUCCUUUCCCCAGCUUCUGGACCCUCUGCAAGAUGGAGCAAAACACAUUGCUGUUACCGGAGCGAUGCACACGGGGGCAGGACUGGAUCUCCUAUGAGGAUGGGAAUUCAAUUUAGAGCGAGCAAAGCCCCUGCUCUAAGCCGCGCUCUUGUGAUAUUUCUCCUUGCAGCUCAGCUAUCUGAUCGCUGCCUGCAUAUCUCCUGCUGCUUAAGCACAGAUGAUAUCUGAGGGAAGAAGGGUGUCUGGAAUUAUUUGGCUUAUAGCAAAGCGCUGAGGAUCCGGCCCAGCACAUCCCAAUCCCUCAGCACCAUCGCUGCAAUAGCUGUGACACAGCCAGACCCCAGAACAGCAUCCCCAGGUGGUUUUAUUUUAAAGCAUAAUUUUAUUUUUCCCCACGUUGACAAACCAUUUGUGCUGAUGAAGCCCUGGGGAAAAGCUGCAUCAACAGCAAGGUCUAGACUGGCCCGAGGUGUGUUCUGGCCAGCAACAAGUAGAGAAAUACAUAAAACAGAGGAACUGAUAUAAAAUAGAGCAGAACAAAAUAACUGCACGCAAUGCGUUAAUCAGUUUGCGGGGUAAUUGAAUG
ensembl:lncRNA